rnacentral:lncRNA from 1 species
CUUCUUUUCUCAUCCUCAUUCUCCAGGUGGACGCCUGAUUUCUUUAAUUCUCAUCCUCAUUCUCAGGUGGACGCCUGACUUCUUCUUUUCUUCAUCCUCAUUCUCCAGGUGGGCGCCUGACUUCUUCUUUUCUUCAUCCUCAUUCUCCAGGUGGACGCCUGACUUCUUCUUUUCUUUACCAGGUAUUUCCUGACACAAAUAUUGUAUUUGCCCCUGUUUUAAAUCAAAGAAAACUUCGUUAGUUUAAAGCAGGGUGGUUGACUGGGGUAUUCUUGCCGAUGGUGAUGCUUCUCUUCGUUUCUCUUUAUUGCCUUGGAAUGGUUGAAAAGACUGUUUUGUCCUUGUAAUUGAUCCUUGACUAUAGGAUUCCCCUCUGUAUGUUUUCCUUCAAACCCUUUUAACUGUAAUCAUAUGUCCCUUCUGACUUUACUGAUCCACUUUUGAUUUCACCUUUCUUACACCCAUAUCUUUUAUCUCCCACCUUUCGUGGUUGUAUUUUGUAACCUUGAAUCUUGGUAGUAUACCUUGACAUUCCUUCUUAUUUGUUUGGAAUAAAACUUAUCCCAAAGCUUUUAGAAAAGUAAGAUUAUUAGUAACGAAAUACGCUGAUUUCGACAAUUAUAGAAUGAAAAGAAAAAUCCAAAUUUGGAUGACUGUUGGAAAAGGAAUAAAGGACUUAUCUGAUUGGAAUCACUGGCGCCAAUGAUCAGGGUAUGCAUUUUGGAUUAAUCAACCCAGUCUUUUAAUCAAUCUCCUUUUAAUUGUCUCAUUUUUGUUUUCCCCAAAAUUUCCGUAAUCCAUCUUCAUUUUUCAUUUCACAGACCUGUUGGACUUGCAAUAUCUUAAAGAGUUUUCACCGACAAACUUUCCUCAUUUUUUUCACUUCCUUUUCGCCUUAUGGUGCCUACGAAGGUUUUCACCAAUAAGACUCUCUCAUUUUACUUUUCUCUCAACUUCCGUCGCCUUAUGGUGCCCGUGUGGGUUUUCACCUAUAAGACUCUCUCAUUUUUACUUUCUUUUCUUGUUUGUACCAGAGUGUUAUGAACCAUCUUU